GAUAGCUAUGAAGCGAGAGGUUGCCGUCUGCCAUAGGCGGGGAAUUCCGUGGAGCGAAUGUCAUGUUACGAAACUGGCGACAA
rnacentral:ncRNA from 1 species